rnacentral:rRNA from 1 species
CGGCAACAGCUCAAAUUUGAAAUCUGGCUCUUUCAGAGUCCGAGUUGUAAUUUGCAGAGGGCGCUUUGGCGUUGGCAGCGGUCCAAGUUCCUUGGAACAGGACGUCACAGAGGGUGAGAAUCCCGUACGUGGUCGCUGGCCUUCGCCGUGUAAAGCCCCUUCGAC